AUAAGCAAAGACCAAGUCAAAGAGAGUGAGGAAUUAGAGCGGAAGUGUUUUCGGUUCAUUUAGAUCUGAGGUUAAAUAAAUCAACACCAGCCAUUGGAUUGACUUGGAUGAACGAUUGAGAUUGAUCUAGAGGCGGGAACUCGCACAAAGUAUGUAAAGAAGAUGUCCACGAAAGUGUUUUAGGGUUUCUAAGUUCUCGGCAUCCAUUCCCACGGCGGCUUUGUUCGGGAAAUUCAGUCAUGAGAAGACUAUUCACUACAAAUGCUUAGAGAUAUAAUGGCAUGUCGUGAAACAAUUGAUAAAUGGGUGGCAGAGAGGCAGAAGCUGAAGUCCGAAACAAAGAUUAAAGUUGACAAGCUGACCAAAAAGGUGAACAAAAUGAAGUUAUGGAUCAAUGACAAAUGGAAGGCCGAGGAUUCUGAAGGGUGUGUUCAAGCUGGCUCGCUCUUCACGUAGGAGUCACGAGAUCAAGAUUGCGAUACAUACAUGUGUGAAAAAGAAUGCAUGCGAAAGGCUCCGUUCUAAGGCCAUUGAUUUCGGGAUUGUAGUAGCUGAGUACGUAAUCUGUAGGUACAUGUAGGUGCAUUUAAUUGUAAUUUGGGCAGGCCAACCGGAGCUCAAUCCAGAGUUUGGUCUGGUGUGGGCCACUGAUUUUUAAGCAAAGGCAGAUCAUCUUCAUUCUGGAUUAGUAUCUUGUUGACCUUCAGAAUCCUCGGUCUUCCAUUUGUCAUUGAUUUAAAACUUCAUUUUGUUCACCUUUUUCGUCAGCUAGUCAACUUUGUGUCCCUCAGUUCGGACUUCAACUUCUGCCUCUCUGCCACCCAUUUAUCAAUCAUUUCACGACAUCCCGUUAUAUCUCUAAGCAUUUGUAGUGAAGGGUCUUCUCAUGACUGUUUUGCCUUUACAGUUAAAUGCACCUACACAUUAUGUACUCACCAGCUAUUACAAUCCCGAAAUCAAUGGCCUUAGAGAGUGCAUUCUUUUUCACACAUGUAUGUAUCGCAAUCUUGAUCUCGUGACUCCUAUGUGAAGAGGACCCAGCUUGAACACACCCUUCAGAUCCUCUUCAUUCUGUAUUGGGAACCGGAAACGAGUUGCUAUAUCAGCUCGCCGGAGUUGAAGCCCUAUGUAGAUGAAUGUAUUAACGUGUCUUUUUCACUUUCUCCCUAACAUGACUCGAACCCUAGACAGGUGGUUGAGGAGAUUGAUACCACUGGAUUAUAACUAUAGGUCGUACAAAUCUUGAUAAUUAUCUACUAAAUUUAUUAUUAUUUUUCUAA